GUACCAAAAUCGUCCGAGGCAUUAAGUAGUUGAUUGGAUCUCGAUGUCAUAGUGAGCAUAACGAGAAGUUUUUCAGUACAUGUGGAAAAAGUGUAAAGAGAGAAAAAGAGCUUGCAGGACCAAAGCAAGUAAGGGGAGACUUUUUUCUUCAACUUUUGGUGGACGAAGACAAACAUUUUGAAUCUUUAGGUUGAUACAUUUUGCACUUCUGAAGACUUUUAUAGAAACCGUGUUGGAUCAAGAAAACUCGAGGCUCUCUUUUGAGCGGAUAAAAAUGUUGAUCUUCAUGACUGAGGUGUCCACUUUCCUCCGCCACAGAAAGUCCGUAUACUUCUCGAUAUCCACCUCCUCAAAGUUGAUCAUAUCCGUGGCCAUAACAAUUGGCCGAGUUAUUCCAAAACGCUUGGCAAUCUGUUUCCAGGAUCCAUCUGCGGGCCAUUUACCUUGCGAGUGUAGAAUGUCAAAAGUCACCUCUGUACAACUUAAUAUGCACCCACAUGUGCUUUCGGGAUCAGCCACGGUCGAGGUUGUCGUACAAGCGCUAUCAUUAAUAAAGUUGAAGAGGUCAUCGCGGAAACUCCCGUUGAUGAGGAAGCAUGGUGUAACGAUCAACCCUAACCUCAUUGUGGACCUAAUGCUUUCAGAUGUUUUAUUGUGAACUACUGAAUAUCUUACCAAAAAGAAAUAAAUCUCGUGCUCACACGUUGCGGUUGAUAACUAGUCACGAAUACCUAAUCAGGCAGAGGAAGUUGUCUAUAUUUCAAAAUGCCUAGAACUUGAUAUGGAAGAGGGUGUGUGGUCGGUUGUUUUGGGAGCGUUCUCAUCGAUUUCAUUGAUAAUAAUAUUAAUAAUAAUUAUUAAUUAAUAAUAAUAAUAGUUAAAUUUAAAUCGCGGUUAAGACCAAUGGUGUAACUUGGCAUCUUGACCUCUCAAAAGCUAGUCAAAACUCAGCUACAUAUCUUUCGUGUUCUGGAUGAUUUUAUGUUGCGGGGAACAGAUUCAAAGCGGAGAACCAAGAACAUUUGCGGAUCCUGAGUGCUUAUGUAGUUGAUGAUAAUUUUAAAAAUUCAAUCAGUUGGCAGUGUAAGCGGGCAAGUCAUCAUUCUGCGACAUAUGAAUAACAACGUUGUCGCUUUAAGAAGCUAAAAAUUAGGGUCAUCUAAAUGCACCAAAAGUGGUGUUACGGUCUUCAAUUUCAAUGCCAAAGAGCAAAAAAAGAGUGCGUGUGCCUCAAGGCUUUUAAGAUUUAUUUGUUCUUAUACUUGAGAAUCAAGCUUUAUAGAUAUCGAAUAGGAAAGAGAGAGAGAACUAGCUCAAUAUUGAUAAGUCUUCGAAAAGUCAUAGUUUUCAUUUCUUGGGGAGUUUCCAAGACCCGAAAUGUCAAAUUAUUGCGCAGCAAAUUUCUCGAAAUCAUUAAAUCAAAAUGGAGACUAACAUAUUCCCUUUGCCUAUUAGUAAUGAACGAACAAGAAAUGGAAUGCGCCAUAAUUCUUACUUAUACUAAAAUGCAGUGUGUUAAAUUGUAAAGGUCUCACGUGGUAU